ensembl:lncRNA LINC01515 long intergenic non-protein coding RNA 1515
GCAGUUAGCACACAAUUAAAGCAACUCUCCAAGUUUUACCUUAAAGUUCAAAAUUGCUAGGAGUUGAAACUACUAGAAAUAUAUUUACAUGCAAGAGUCAAAGAAACUUUGAACUAUUUAUGGCCUUUAAUAAUUAAGUAAGGUAUACUCCUGUGAUCAAGACUUGGAGCAUAUUUGUUUCUCUCUGCCUGGUUCCUCUAGAAAUUGGAAACUAUCAGAACAGAGACCAACUCCGUUUCCCGAUCCCUUUGCAAUCUGCAUUGAACCAUGAGUCAAGUUCUUGAUAAAGGAGUGAAAAUGGUAAGUCUAAAGCAAUGAAAAGCUGCUGUAUUGACUACACAUGCCUUCAUUUCUUCUACCCUGCUUCUUUCAUGCCUGCUUAUCUGAAUGACACCAGGAUGACAUUUAAGGCACAUCUGAAGAUGGGGAAACCACAGCACAGAAUAAGGCUGGGCCCUUGAAUCAAUAAAUGAAGGAGAACUACUCAAGAGAACAAAACCACCAGCAAUAUCCACCUGUAUUUGUCUUUUCAUAAUGUGUGACACAUGUGCUCAUGGAUUAUUGUCCGAAGCAAGACAUGUGACCAAGCCUAACAUCAACUGGGUGAAGAGCUAUAUGUUCCUUUCUCAAGAGGCACUACAAGUGACAUGCCACUGGGCAGAAGUAAACAUUGUUUUUACCCCUUUAAAAAGUCUACUUAUACCAUCUACUUAAUUUGGAAUUUAUCUAACAUUGCCAGUUUGAUAUAGAUACAGAAAUUUAAUGAGAAAAUGCAGUUCUAUAUUUAGAAUAUGGAUUCUUCAAGAUGUUUCUGACACACAUUUGUUUUCAUUGAAACAUUAAACAAUUAUUUAGCU